UUUUGGACUGAACAUCUUAGGAGCGUGCUGCCGUGCCUGGUCUCCGUUUGUAAGAAUGUCUUCCGUCCGGGCGGACAUGUUCUCGAAGCUUCUUAUUCAGGUCUUGUAGAUGGCGAGCCUGUUUGGUGCAUGCCGAGAGCUGUCGAAAACAUGUUUGUUCUCAAAAGCAGAUGCUGGAGUCCAGGAGCUAGAGAUCCCGAGGAUGAUUCUACAUGGAGUUCGGCUUCGAGGAGUAGUUAGGAGGUCCCAGGCAGGAGGCCUUGCCU